GCACUGGUAAGCUCGCUCGCUACUUCUGGUGCCGAUCUCCUUUAGCUUCGACCACCUGAACUUCCCUUCGCCCGUGGCGCCGAUGUCUUCCAAAUCCAGGCGGUCGAAGCCACCCGACAAACGACGAAGAUGGCACGGUCGUUCUGAGACUCAUCUUCAGACGAUUUGCGAGGCAACCACCAUGCGCUUUAGAUUUGAUUCUGAUCG
rnacentral:lncRNA from 1 species